CCUGGUAUGAAAGGUUUGACGAGGAAAAAGCUGUUUCUAUUUUAAUUUUAUAGAAUUUUAUUUUUAAGUCAAAAAGCUUAAAUUAAUUUAAAAGACGAGAAGACCCUAUAGAGUUUUAUAAAAUAAAUGAUUUAAAAUUAUUUGAAUUAUAUAUUAUAAAUUAUUUAUUUUAUUUUAUUGGGGUGAUCGAAAAAUUUAAAAAACUUUUUUUUUAUAAUAACAUUUAUUUAUGAAUUAUUGAUCCAUAUUAAUGAUUAUAAGAUUAAAUUACCUUAGGGAUAACAGCGAA
rnacentral:rRNA from 1 species